AGUCGACGCCUCAGCAAUGGGGAGUGGCAGACGGGUGAGUAACACGUGGGAACGUACCCUUCGGUUCGGGAUAACUCAGGGAAACUUGAGCUAAUACCGGAUACGUCCGAGAGGAGAAAGGUUUACUGCCGAAGGAUCGGCCCGCGUCUGAUUAGCUAGUUGGUGAGGUAAUGGCUCACCAAGGCGACGAUCAGUAGCUGGUCUGAGAGGAUGAUCAGCCACAUUGGGACUGAGACACGGCCCAAACUCCUACGGGAGGCAGCAGUGGGGAAUAUUGGACAAUGGGCGCAAGCCUGAUCCAGCCAUGCCGCGUGAGUGAUGAAGGCCCUAGGGUUGUAAAGCUCUUUUACCUGGGAAGAUAAUGACUGUACCAGGAGAAUAAGCCCCGGCUAACUUCGUGCCAGCAGCCGCGGUAAUACGAAGGGGGCUAGCGUUGUUCGGAUUUACUGGGCGUAAAGCGCACGUAGGCGGAUCUUUAAGUCAGGGGUGAAAUCCCGAGGCUCAACCUCGGAACUGCCUUUGAUACUGGGGAUCUUGAGUCCGGGAGAGGUGAGUGGAACUGCGAGUGUAGAGGUGAAAUUCGUAGAUAUUCGCAAGAACACCAGUGGCGAAGGCGGCUCACUGGCCCGGUACUGACGCUGAGGUGCGAAAGCAUGGGGAGCAAACAGGAUUAGAUACCCUGGUAGAAUCACUAGUGAAUU
rnacentral:rRNA from 1 species